AUAUAUAUAUAUAUAGUGUGAGGCUAUUAUGCUUUUGGAAGCACGGAGCCUUCCGUACUUUCAGGUCGUUUUCGAUGCUGCGACUUUCGAAUCGUCGAUCGGCUCUAUUAAACUUGAUCUAAAGUAUUUGAAGUACCUAGAAAAUAAAAUUUAUGAUUUUUCGAUGUCAUUUGUCUCGUGAUCGAAGGGGCUCAAAAUCAAUAAUUCUAAUGGCCAUAGUGAGCCGUUUGCAAGUUUAAUGGUAUAGAAAUAACAAAAACACGUGAAAUUUUGAUAGAAAAUUUUUUAUACUAUAUAAAACAAGAUCAAUAUUUUUGAUCUAAAAUUUUAAUGUCAUAUUAUCACGUUUUGUAUGAUUUUUAUUUUUAGCCGUUGAUUUUAAGCCCCUUCGGUCACUAGGCAAAUAAUAUCGAAAAAUCGCAUAAUUUAUUUUUUAGGUACUUCAAAUCUCUAGAUCAAGUUUAACGGAGCCGAUCGACGAUUCGAAAGUCGCAACAUGAUAGAAAAAUGUAAAAUAAAUGUAAAACUGA
rnacentral:lncRNA from 1 species